GCCGGGAUGGCGGAAUUGGUUUACGCGCACGACUCAAAAUCGUGUGAGCUUACGCUCGUGUGGGUUCGAGUCCCACUCCCGGCACCA
rnacentral:tRNA from 1 species